rnacentral:rRNA from 1 species
AACGAACGCUGGCGGCAUGCCUAACACAUGCAAGUCGAACGAGACCUUCGGGUCUAGUGGCGCACGGGUGCGUAACGCGUGGGAACCUGCCCUUAGGUUCGGAAUAACUCCCCGAAAGGGGUGCUAAUACCGGAUAAUGUCUUCGGACCAAAGAUUUAUCGCCUUUGGAUGGGCCCGCGUUGGAUUAGCUAGUUGGUAGGGUAAAAGCCUACCAAGGCGAAGAUCCAUAGCUGGUCUGAGAGGAUGAUCAGCCACACUGGGACUGAGGCACGGCCCAGAAUCCUACGGGAGGCAGCAGUGGGGAAUAUUGGAAAAUGGGCGAAAGGCUGAUCCAGCAAUGCCGCGUGAGUGAUGAAGGCCUUAGGGUUGUAAAGCUCUUUUACCCGGGAUGAUAAUGACAGUACCGGGAGAAUAAGCUCCGGCUAACUCCGUG